UACGAAGGGGGCUAGCGUUGCUCGGAAUCACUGGGCGUAAAGCGCACGUAGGCGGAUUGCUAAGUCAGGGGUGAAAUCCUGGAGCUCAACUCCAGAACUGCCUUUGAUACUGGCGAUCUUGAGUCCGGGAGAGGUGAGUGGAACUGCGAGUGUAGAGGUGAAAUUCGUAGAUAUUCGCAAGAACACCAGUGGCGAAGGCGGCUCACUGGCCCGGUACUGACGCUGAGACGCGAAACGUGGGGAGGCGAACAGG
rnacentral:rRNA from 1 species